rnacentral:rRNA from 1 species
UACGUAGGGUGCAAGCGUUGUCCGGAAUUAUUGGGCGUAAAGAGCUCGUAGGCGGUCUGUCACGUCGGCUGUGAAAAUCCAGGGCUCAACCCUGGACCUGCAGUCGAUACGGGCAGACUAGAGUCCGGCAGGGGAGACUGGAAUUCCUGGUGUAGCGGUGAAAUGCGCAGAUAUCAGGAGGAACACCGGUGGCGAAGGCGGGGUCUCUGGGCCGGAACUGACGCUGGAGGAGCGAAAGCGUGGGGAGCGAACAGG